rnacentral:rRNA from 1 species
CUCCUACGGGAGGCAGCAGUAGGGAAUCUUCCGCAAUGGACGAAAGUCUGACGGAGCACAACGGCGUGAACCAUGAAGGCCUUCGGGUCGUAAAGCUCUGUUGUUAGGGAAGAACAAGUAUCGGAGUAACUGCCGGUACCUUGACGGUACCUAACCAG